rnacentral:rRNA from 1 species
AUUGAACGCUGGCGGCAGGCCUAACACAUGCAAGUCGAACGAGUGGCGGACGGGUGAGUAAUGUCUGGGAAACUGCCCGAUGGAGGGGGAUAACUACUGGAAACGGUAGCUAAUACCGCCUACCAUCGGAUGUGCCCAGAUGGGAUUAGCUGGUAGGUGGGGUAACGGGUCACCUAGGCGACGAUCCCUCGCUGGUCUGAGAGGAUGACCAGCCACACUGGAACUGGGCCACGGUCCAGACUCCUACGGGAGGCAGCGGAGGGGAAUAUUGCACAAUGGGCGAUGUCCUGAUGCACGCAGGGCGCGGGUAGGAAUAGGGCCUUCGGGUUGUACAGUACUUUCAGCGGGGAGGCGUUACCCGCAGAAGAAGCACCGGCUAACUCCGUGCCAGCGGCCGCGGUAAUAC